CUGGCACUGCCCGCCGAGGCACCCGGAGGGUCCUGCCCAACGCCACGGUGUCACCACUGGAAAGGCUCUGGAAUAUCCGGACAUCCAGGCAGAGUUCUCCUGUGGUUCCUCACCUGUGGCAUUGGAAGAAUUCCCUGCAGCUCCAUCCUUGGGACUUCCAGGGGCCCGUGCAGGACUUGCUCCUUGUCCCUCAAUGAGAUAAAUUGUGUGAAACACAGAUCCAGGGCCUUGGGUCUGUGGCUCCUCUGUGCCUGGGGCUCCCAGCAGAGCACAGUUUAGCCAUACUGGCAUUGCCUGUUGUUAUCAUUUCCAGCAAGGGUUCCCAUUCAGCCUGGAGUCACUCCCCCUCCUGCUCCCAUUCUCCCAGUGCCAAUGCUGUUUGAGCAGUAGGAUACAGUCACAGAGAGCCCCCAGGAAAUUGCAGCUUCCUUCCCACCUCUCCUGGGCAAGGCAUGCACCAUCAGGCAAUGCCAGCCUUGGCUGGAUGGAUAAUUCCAAUUUUCCCCUCCUGUUGAUGCCAAACACCGUGGCAGUGGCAGCUGCUGAUGCCAAUGCAAUGACCCACAUUCUGAGCUGGCAGCUCUUUCCCUCCCUUAGUCAGUCUUCCAGAAGAUGGGUGAUGUACAGACAGACUCCAAGCACUGUCUGAGCAGGUCCAUGAGGGCACCAGUGUGCCAGCAAAAAGCAUCAGCCAUUGGCAUCACGUCACCAGCCUUGGCACACCUGAUGGAUGUGCCCAGCAAUAGGAACAGCUUGCCUGCAUGGGCCUUUUUGCGUGAUGGUAAUAGUUAAAAACAGUUCUAAGCAAAGCGUGUAAAAUCUUUAAAUCUUUAACAAAUCUCUCAUAAUUCCCAGCUAAGUAGAUUAAAGCUGACUGCAGGCUUUAAAAGGAAUCAAGCUGAUCACUUGCAGGACAGAGAAAAUAAAUAAAAUUAAAACAAUCACAGUGUAAAUGUGCAGCUCCCAUGUUCCUGGUGCAGAUAAAAUUAGGGUGGCAGGAUGGCAACCAGACCACUGGUCCUGGGUUUGAUGGAGGCAAAGACUCAGUGAGAUGAGGCAAUACAGCACAAUUCUGUAUCAAAAGAAUUACUCAAAAGCAUCAAAGAUGCUGCAGGCAGAUUUUAUCAGGAUGCUGCACACCUGGGGAACAAAGUGGUGCUGCGUGGACAGCUUCUUCAGCAAAACAGGACAGGCUGCUGAAUUCCCAGGCAGCAAUCAGGAUCCUUGUUAAGAUUCAUCCUGGUGUUAAGGUCCCGAGCAUCAGACCAGUUUGUGGCUCUGGUACUCUCUUCACAGUGCUCACUGCAGCUGAUGUGUGUUUGUAACGAUAGCUCGGAUUGGAAAUUAUAUGGUUAAAUAUCUUGGCUCAGUGGAAUUCAGCACUUGGACUUUCCUUCAGUGACUGAAGGAGCAGAUUUUGUAGGAUUCGGCUCCUAUCUGGAGAGAUCUGGUGUUUCUCUUCCUUAGAACCACGUGUUCCUUUUUUAAAUGUGUAUUUCGGUAUAAGGUAGAGGGGCAUGGCUAGCUGCAGCUGUCACGUAGAGUGAAAGCCGCCAGCCAAGGGCAGCAGUGCUGCUGCAGGGCAUCCCUGCGGUGCCCGUCAGUGCCAGCUGCUGCUGCCCUGCCUGCUCGCACCGUGCCUGUGGCUCCUGCUGCCCAGGCACUCUGCCACCCCAGCCCAGUGGUGCCCACUCCCUUUGCCAGCCCAGGGAUUCUGUUUGCUUGGCUUUGCCACUGUCACUGUGCUGUCCCCAGACCCAGCACUGGAACUUUCUGCUCCAGUACCUACAGAUGUGUCUCAAAGGCAGCACCAUGAUGAUCCCUGCUAAAAACUGCAGCAGGAUCUCCUGCUGCUGCCAUCAUACACUUGCAGGAAGCACUGGUGUUUGAUCCUGAAGAUCUGGGACAGCAGCAGGUUCUGGGGGUUUGGUGGUGAGCCACAGAAACAGGUGAUGCAGGACAAAUCUUCUGAAGGCACAAAGGCUGCUCAAACUCACCAGCAUAUGCCCAGAGAAGGGGGAUUUGGCUCUCCCCCACUUUGGCAGGUGGUGUUUGGCUCUUUGAGAGCAGCUGAGAUUCGGGAGGGUUUUGCAAACUGGAUGGGUGGUCAUGGCCCUUGUCCCUCUCCCAUCCCGUGAGAUGAGCAGAACAGACCUGGCACAGGUGACUCAGCUGGGCCCUCACUGCUCAGAGAGCUUUAAUGGCAGAAGGACGAAGCUGAAGUUUCCAAAGCUGCCCCAGAAAAGGGCUCCUAAAAUGGUGACACUUCUGUUCUAAUGAAGUUAUGCUUCACCUGUUCAGGAAGGAGAUGGCUCAAAACAAGGAUGGGAGGGUGCCCUGCCUUAGCCCAACUCUGCCAAAAUGACAAGAGGUUCAUGUUGUUGCUCUCAGGUGACCAUAGAAUAUUGUACUGCUGUACUGAGGUGACAUCUGCUCCCCUUCCUCCCAAACAGGCAGCUUCCUCACCCUACAGACUGCCCCAGGGCACAAUAAGUAGGUUAAUGCUUGCUUUAGGGUUAGCCUCAGGGUGAGGGUUCCCUGCAGGAAUAGCAGAGUGAGGUUUCCUCUGUGCCUGUGUGAGUUCAUGUGUAGGGAUGCCUCCAAGGCAAAUGAAUUCCUACUGCUCCCAUUUCAUCACUGUGUGCCUCUUCCUCCUUCCUUGGGAUGGUGAUGUUCCUUGGGAUGACAGAGCUUUGAUUUUAGUUCUGCCAGGCUCAUAUGAUUUUUCCAUUCGUCAUUUGUUCUUCCAUUUCCCUGCUUCCAGUCCUCGUUCUGGCCAGGCAGGAGUGGGAGCUCCAAUGGUUGUGUUGGCCAUGCCUCAUGCUUCUCAUGCCUGUUUCUUCUAUGGCCAGACUGACUCCCAAAAAGGAAAACAAACCAAAACGUGUCAGUGGUUUUGAAUUACAAAUCUGGGUGUUCAAAAUGCAUGAAAUGAGAAAUUUCGGGCGCUUACUGCAACAUGAAUCCACCUGUGUUGGACAUGAGUGGCAUUUCCUAUUUAUGCUCAGACUCUUGAAUACAAAGUUAAAACAGAUGUCAAGGCAGCUGUGGACGGAGAAAACAGCAUCAGGUUGGAGAAGAGGGAGGGUUUGGUGUGUUCAUCAUUACAGACUUUGGUUGUGGCAAAUGAAAGUUAAAGAGGCGCCUAGAACCAGGUAUUCAAACUUAAUUUCCUAUUUGUAUAGUAAUGUGUGAAGUUCCUGUGUUUACUUUGCAUGUAAAUAUUGACUUAUAUUGUUACAUAAAAGUAGUAUUGACAUUU